CUCUCUCUCUCUCUCUCUCUCUCUCUCUCUCUCUCUCUCUCUCUCUCUCUAUAUAUAUAUAUAUAUAUAUAUAUAUGGUAAAUUGUAUUGUUACCCCCUGAACUUUUGGCGAAGUUUCAUUUUACCCCUCGAACUCCUAAAAUGGACAUCCUCCAAACAAGAGUUUGUAGACAGGUUCACACCAGUUGGAAUGUUGAGAUAGGUACACUGAGAGCGUAAAUAAUUGUAACCAUAUACAUACCAUCCUAAACUUUAAUAUUUCAUUCAUGUUACCCCUUCCGUCAGUUUUCCGUGAAGCUCCGUUAACCAGAAACUGACGGAAGGAGUUAAACAAUGAAAUAUUAGAGUUUAGGGUGUUAGAUGUCUAUUUUAGGAGUUUGGGGGGUUAAGUGAAACUCGCCAAAAGUUUAGAAAAUAGCAGUGCAAUUUACCCUAAUAUGUUACUUAUGGAUUGACUACGUACUAACCCUCAAGUUAGUGAUCAUACUUGAUUUUGAAUUUAUAUAUAUUUUUAAUCCUAAAAUAAAUCAUAAUAUAAUUUAUCCUACAUUUUAUUUUAAUAAAAUAAAAGCAAAAGAAAUAAAUUAGAGUGGCUUAAAGAUAAGAAAAGAGCGAAACUAACUAUAUAUCUACGAUGCUCGAACACUUUACAAUUCUGGUGUACUCGCUAAUAUGGUUGAUUUACAAUAGAUGUCCUCACAUUCGGAUAUAGAGAUUUUAAUUCUCAGUUAAUUUUCUGUAGUACUCGUUUGUCCCUUUAUAUUUAGAAGCAUUAUUCUAGAAAAUGCACUUAUUUCCUAUGAAACUAUGCAAUGUAAUUUUAUUGUAGCCAAAAAUAAAAUUUGUGUACUUCAUUUCAGCCAAUUAGAAAAUUUUAAUAUAAAAAUAUAAAAUAAUAUUUUAUAAUACUUUAGAACAAUGCUUAAAGAUAAAAGAGACAAACGAAUACUACAGAAAAUUAACUGAGAAUUAAAAUCUCUAUAUCCGAGUAAAUACACCUAUUAUAUAUAAAUCAACCAUAUUAGCGAGUACAGUAGUACAGUAGAGUGUUCGAGUAUCGUAGGUACGUGGUUAGUAUCACUCUUUUCUUAUCUUUAUGACAUUUUAAAUCAUUUCUUUCGCUUUUAUUUUAUUAUAAUAAAAUGUAGGAUAAAUUGUUAUAUGAUUUAUUUUAGGAUAAAAAAUAUAUAUAAAUU
rnacentral:lncRNA from 1 species